UGCCGUCACUACCUGUAAACAAUGAGGCCAU
rnacentral:piRNA from 1 species